rnacentral:sRNA from 1 species
UAGUGACAGAUCCAGAGACACACAAGAGCACCAAAGCAGAUGAACACACCCUCCGGAAACGGGGGCUGUUGGUCGCAGCUGUGCUGUUCAUCACAGGCAUCAUCAUCCUCACCAGUGGCAAGUGCAGGCAGCUGUCCCGGUUAUGCCGGAAUCAUUGCAGGUGAGUCCAUCAGAAACAGGAGCCAACAACCCGCUGGGCACCCGAAGACCAAGCCCCCUGCCAGCUCACCGUGCCCAGCCUCCUGCAUCCCCUCGAAGAGCCUGGCCAGAGAGGGAAGACACAGAUGAUGAAGCUGGAGCCAGGGCUGCCGGUCCAAGUCUCCUACCUCCCCCAACCCUGCCUGCCCCUGAAGGCUACCUGGCGCCUUGGGGGCUGUCCCUCAAGUUAUCUCCUCUGUUAAGACAAAAAGUAAAGCACUGUGGUCUUUG